UAACAUCAACAUUGUACUGUGUGUAAGCGGCAAUCAACUUUCAUUUUGCAAACAGAAAGUUGUAGACAUUUUUGAAAAUGUUUAAUAUCGUAUUUGAAUGGAAUCUAUAGAUCACAUGUUAGACAUGAUGGAAAUCGGAAAUGAUUUACAAGAAGCAGUACUUGAUGGAGACGUUGAUCUUACCACACAUUUGUUAGAAAGCAGAAAGUUUGACCUAAACAAGCGAGACAAACAAGGGCGAACUCUACUCCACUAUGCAGCAUGUAGAGGUCAAUAUGAGAUUGUUGAACUACUUCUAGAACAAGGGGCAAAAGCACACUUAAAAGACAAAAAUGGGAACACUCCUCUUCAUUGGUGUGGUCAUGCAGAUGUAAUUGACCUUCUUAUUAACCAUGGAUCAAAAGUUGAUGACAGAAAUUGCAUAGGAGCAACACCUAAAGAAAUGGCUAAAAGAAGAGGUGUGCCGAAAGCAGUUUUACAAGUAUUUGACCAAUAUAAAAAGAAAGAAGAAGUAUCUCAGAACAAUUUGAAAACACUGUUUCAUGAAUUUAGUGAAGAACUUGGCAUGAAGAAUCUCCUGUUACUGAUACUGUUACUAUUGUUUAUUUCCAUUUACGCUGCAUAUACUAUCACAGGAUUGUCUUCACAUCUAAAGAGAGCUAACCCUAUUGUUUUGUAAACGUGUAAAUCUGUCAGUCUUUAUUCUGGGCUAUUGGUGGGUUUUGCAUUUUGUCAAAAUUCACUCACCCUUUGGCAUGUUUUGGAAGGUUUUUGAUGCAUUUUACUUUUUUAGCAACAUGACAGACUUACCCUGGUAGCCAAAAUCAAAACAAAAAUACCUUAUGAGAAUUGAUUAAAACUUCUUCAAUUACUUAUAGAAAUAUCAUCUUAAAUGAAUUCUGGAUUUCAAAAGAAGCAGUUAUAUCGCAUAUUUUUAAUUCAAUUUAUCCAAUCAGUACAAUUGAUAGAACUGACUCAAUUGAAGGCUAGAUGUCAAGCGAGUUAAUUAUUUUCUUUCUCAUAUUUUCAUGUUCAACUCAUCAUCAUUUUGAUGUAUAUUAUACAUUUGUCUCAAUUAUAUUUAGUGGGACUGUUAAACUAGUCAAUUUUCUACAAUAUGUAUUCUGAUUCAAUUGAAUUCUGUCCAGUAGAAAUGUCAAAGGAGUUCAUUUUUCUCCUUAAAUAUUUUCUGGUUCAUCUGACACAAUGUAUAUACUCAAUGCAAUUAAUACAAUUUAGAUUUUGUAAUUUUUAAAUUCUUUUUUGACCAUAAAAGAUCAUUUAAAGGGAGAUAAUUCUGGAAUAGCUUGAUAGAAAGAAUUAAUUUGCUGUUGAUUAUUUCCCUUUGCAUGUUAUAAUCAAUUGAUUAUGUAGAUGAAAAUUAUACAUAAACAUGAUUAUAUGAUUACUGGACAGAAAUAAAACACUUUGAUGUUAGCAGUUCCUUUUAGAAAAGCUUUUGAUAUGAAGAUAUCUGUGUGAAUGUAAUUCUCACUCCAAUUGUUUUUUUUUUAUUUACAUAUUUUUCUAAUUUUUUUAUAUGUAAAUGAUUCCAGAAUCUCUAAAUGAUUUUAUAUCAUAGUACUGUAUUGCAAGCAAUUAAGAUUGAUAAUUAUUUUCAAAAAUUUAUUGUCCAUAUUCACUUUUGAAAUUAAAAAGUUUAUUAAGUCUCCCAAACGAAGUUUGGUAAGACUUAUUGUUUUGGCUCAGUUCUUAUUAUUAUUAUUCUUCUUCUUCUUCUUCCGCCGCUUUUAAAGGAGUAGGUCCAGUAAGACCCCUUUUUGGCCCCAAAAUAUAGCAGUUUUACAAAAUUGUUAAAAUGUAAACUUUUAGCUCUUUAUUGGAAAGUAGAAUACUUCUGCUACAUAAAUAUGGGCAGUUUUUGACAAAACAUUGCAUAUAUAUCGGGUACUAGCAUCAUUAAGUCAUGCUAUAUUACUGAAAUCUUCACAAUUUCAGCAUUUGAGUUAAAUUUUAGACGGUUUCCGUCUUAAAUGGAAGUGGCCGCAUUUGUGUUCAUUCUUAAUAUUUAAAUGCAAGUUGUAUUUGAUGAUAAUACAUAACAUAUAUAAAGGUUGAGAGUGAACACGGAUGCGGCCACUUUCAUUUUUGACAAAAACCAUCUGAAAAGUGACAUAUUGUGGCAUAUUUGAUAGAUUUUUCAUAUUUAAGCUUGAAUCUGAGCGUCUUUAAUGAUAAAAUCAGUUCAAAUCUGUCACCUAAACUAAUUGAAUCGACUAAAGUACACACUUAAGUGUUUAAAAAGUGACCAAAAUCUUUCAUCAGAUGAACCUGAAAUUUGAGGCCAAAAUCGGCCCUUACCGGACCUACUCCUUUGAACUUGUCCGCACCCGUUCUCCAAAACCGCUUGUCAGAUUAACUUAGGGUUAAACAAUAUGUUAGACUAACAUGUCUAGUGGUGCAAUCAGGGUUUUGUUUGUGCAAUGGGGUUUAUAAAGGGGUACUUUGAGGGGCAAAAAGAAAGGAGGGUUUUAUUGUAGAACCCUAUGGGAUUUUAUUUUUUUAAAUUUUCAAAUGAUUAUAAAUUGAAAACCGUUUGUGAUAGACACAAUCUUUUUAAUUGAAAAUGUUCUAAAUGAUUAAGCACUUAAAUGAAAUACAGGGUUAGUCCCCAGGGGUCACCCCCACCCCCUGCCAUUUAAGAAAGUUCUAAUAUCUUGUAAAUGGUCGAGAUCCCCACCCCUAAACCAUAUAUAUUCUGGUUUGUCAUGCUAAGAUGGUUUGAAUGAUAUACAGGGUUAGUCCCCAGGGGUCAUCCCUACCCCCUGCCAUUUGAGAAAGUUCUAACAUCUUGUAAAUGGUCGAGAUCCCCACCCCUAAACCAUAUAUAUUCUGGUUUGUCAUGAUAAAGCACAUCAAAUGAAAUACAGUGUUAGUCCCCAGGGGUCACCCCCACCCCCUGCCAUUUAAGAAAGUUCUAAUACCUUGUAAGUGGUCAAGAUCCCCACCCCUAAACCAUAUAUAUUUUGGUUUGUUAUGCUAAGAUGGUUUGAAUGAUAUACAGGGUUAGUCCCCAGGGGUCAUCCCUACCCCCUGCCAUUUGAGAAAGUUCUAACAUCUUGUAAAUGGUCGAGAUCCCCACCCCUAAACCAUAUAUAUUCCGGUUUGUCAUGAUAAAGCACAUCAAAUGAAAUACAGUGUUAGUCCCCAGGGGUCACCCCCACCCCCUGCCAUUUAAGAAAGUUCUAAUACCUUGUAAGUGGUCAAGAUCCCCACCCCUAAACCAUAUAUAUUUUGGUUUGUUAUGCUAAGAUGGUUUGAAUGAUAUACAGGGUUAGUCCCCAGGGGUCAUCCCGACCCCCUGCCAUUUGAGAAAGUUCUAAUAUCUUGUAAAUGGUCGAGAUCCCCACCCCUAAACCAUAUAUAUUCUGGUUUGUCAUGAUAAAGCACAUCAAAUGAAAUACAGGGUUAGUCCCCAGGGGUCACCCCACCCCCUGCCAUUUAAGAAAGUUCUAAUAUCUUCUAAGUGGUCAAGAUCCCCACCCUUAAACCAUAUAUAUUCUGGUUUGUCAUGCAAAGAUGGUUUGAAUGAUAAACAGGGUUAGUCCCCAGGGGUCAUCCCACCCCCUGCCAUUUGAGAAAGUUCUAAUAUCUUGUAAAUGGUUGAGAUCCCCACCCCUAAACCAUAUAUAUUCCUAUUUGUCAUGUCUCGAACAUUUGAAUGACGUAUACGUUCAGUCCCCAGGGGUUCCCCCCACCCCCAAUGUUCUAAUAUCUUGUAAAUGGUUGAGAUCCCCACCCCUAAACCAUAUAUAUUCCUGUUCGUCAUGUAAUGAACAUUUGAAUGAUGUAUAGGGCAAGUCCCCAGGGGUUCCUCCCCACCCCCAAUGUUCUAGUAUCUUGUAAAUGGUUGAGAUCCCCACCCCUAAACCAUAUAUAUUCUGGUUUGUCAUGCCAAGAUGAUUUGAAUGAUAUACAAGUUUGUCCCCAUGCAUCACUAAUGCAUAUAACUUAACUGGACCAAACCAAUUUUCACUGGACGUUGCCCAAUGUCAGGCGACCCUGGGAAUUACGAAUUAUGGGAGCUUCGUUUGGGAGACUUCAUAACAGCAUCCUGUUACAAUCAUUUCUUGUUAUGUAAUAUUUAAUUAUGAUAAUACAUUAUUCAGGAAUAUAUGUCUACAGAACUUUUAUGAAAAUCACUAGACUGUUAUAAUUACAUGUUCAUUAAAUAAUUCCAUUUGAAUUAUAAUUUUUUUAUCCUAGAUUUUUAAUUUUGAUUUGUAAGUUAUUGCAAUUGGUACAUUGCGUUAAAGAACACAAGUGUUCAAAUUUUAUAUGUUAUAAAAAGUAAAAUAACAAAAAUACCGAACUCCAAGGAAAAUUCAAAUCGGAAAGUCCGUUGUCAAAUGACAAAAUCCAAAGCUCAAACAGAUUAAACGAAUGGAAAACAACUGUCAUAUUCCUGACUUGGUACAGGCAUUUCCUUAUGUAGAAAAUGGUGGAUUAAACCUAGUUUUAUAGCUAGCUAAACCUCUCACUUGUAUGACAGUCACAUAAAAUUCCAUUAUAUUGACAACAAUGUGUGAACAAAACAAACAGACAUGAUAGGUAAAAAUGUCAAAAUUAGGGGUACAGCAGUCAACAUUGUGUUAUAAUCUUAAUCACUAUAAAAACAAACAAAUAUGUCAACAAAGAAAAACAAAAUAAAUUUUCUAAAAGUUCUCAUGUAAGUAUAUAAACAUGAAAAGUUCAAUUUAUAAAAUAGGUCACCAUUAAUGGCAUUAAGGAAUAGGUUGAUAAGAUCUCCAUAUAACUCCUAUUUCUAUACCUAAUAAGAUUGUUGGGAGUGGAAUGCACCAGCCACAUGGUGGGAUCAAACUCACAGUCAAUUUAUACCUUCUCCGACCAUUGAUUGGGUUUUUUUUUACCAGUUCUGUACUUAUUUCUUACAAAUGCUUAAAUCAAGUUUUACUUUAAGUUAAUGAUUAUCAAUACAUGACCAAUUGUAAAACUUUUUUACAGGUUCUGACCCAGGUUUGAAGCUCAAAAGUUUAUAUACUCUAUCCUGUCUUAAUGCAUGCAUAUCUGCAAAUUUUUAAUUUGCAGCUGGAAUAUGCAUUUUCAACAUGAAAUAAUCAAAAAUAUAUACUUUUUGUACAGAGCUAAGUUAUAUGUUGUAUAUUUAUACUUUUUGUACAGAGCUAAGUUAUAUGUUGUAUAUUUAUACUUUUUGUACAGAGCUAAGUUAUAUGUUGUGUACAGAGUUUAUUAAAUAUGUUAUUCGGUCAGCUAAA